rnacentral:rRNA from 1 species
AGUGAACGCUGGCGGUAGGCCUAACACAUGCAAGUCGAACGGCAGCACAGUAAGAGCUUGCUCUUACGGGUGGCGAGUGGCGGACGGGUGAGGAAUACAUCGGAAUCUACUUUUUCGUGGGGGAUAACGUAGGGAAACUUACGCUAAUACCGCAUACGACCUACGGGUGAAAGCAGGGGAUCUUCGGACCUUGCGCGAUUGAAUGAGCCGAUGUCGGAUUAGCUAGUUGGCGGGGUAAAGGCCCACCAAGGCGACGAUCCGUAGCUGGUCUGAGAGGAUGAUCAGCCACACUGGAACUGAGACACGGUCCAGACUCCUACGGGAGGCAGCAGUGGGGAAUAUUGGACAAUGAGCGCAAGCCUGAUCCAGCCAUACCGCGUGGGUGAAGAAGGCCUUCGGGUUGUAAAGCCCUUUUGUUGGGAAAGAAAAGCAGCAGGUUAAUACCCCGCUGUUCUGACGGUACCCAAAGAAUAAGUACCGGCUAACUUCGUG